UUAGUUGAUGGCGAAAGGUCGCAAAGUAAGAGCUUCUCGAGCUGCGCAAGGAUAGGUCGAAUUUUCUCAUUUUCCGCCAGCAGUCCACUUCGAUUUAAUUCGUAAACAAGCAGUAGUAAUUCCUGCUUUAUCAAGAUAAUUUUUCGACUCAUCAGAAAUAUCCGAAAGUGUUAACUUCUGCGUCAUGGAAGCGAUAAAACUC
rnacentral:rRNA from 1 species